GAGGGGGGAAGGGCAAGGAGAUUGUCAGCCCCUUUGAUGAUUCCGGCUGUGAAAGCCUUCGACAAUACACCCAGCAUCUUAUUUUUAUUCCAUUUUAAAAGUUUUAUAAGCCCACCUUUCUCCCGACGUGUCCUGGUGCCAAGGACGCCGUGCCGACAAGACGACCUCACGCUUGCACAAACCCCCGACGACCAAGCCCGUUCUUUCUUCUCAACGCUGACAAUAACAUUUUUUUGUACAGAACCCCCGAAAACCCAGCAGAACCUUCCGCGGCUUGUAUAUAUUUUGCGUUUCUGCUUAUCUGUCUUAGAAUUAGGAUCACGGAGCUGCUACAAUAAACCAAGAGAGUCCGUCUGACGCAAAAUGA